AGGGGGAACCCGGUGCGAAUCCGGGGCUGACGCGCAGCGGUGUGGGGACGGCAGGGGGCCGCUCCCGAGCCCGAAUGCCC
rnacentral:ncRNA from 2 species